rnacentral:lncRNA from 1 species
UUUUUUUUUUUUUUUUUCUUUUUUGCCCCCCUACUUAUAAAACGUCCGUGGCGACGUUAUACAAUCUCGUUGUUUGUGGCUUGAGAGGUUAUGAUUUUGUAACAACGAACACUGGAAAACACUCUUAAGCGUAUUUAUUAUUUAUCUUAUUCUAUCCCAGAUAGUGUUCCCGUGAUGUUUUUGCAAGAUUGCGUAGUGUUGUUCCAGAAUUUGUUAAACACAGCAACUGACUAAUUUUAAGUCGGUGGUUGAAUCUGGUUUUGAUCUCAUUUGUAUAAACAGGUCUGACAAACGAUAAAGAAAAAGUGGCUGUGCUUAACAAAUGCAUAUGGAUAUGUACUUGUUAGUGCUACGUGGGGAGAAAUCUCUUUGGUGUGUCCAUAAAUACAACUUUUGCAGACUGCUGAAGGCUUAGGGUGAGAUGAAGCAGAAUAAUUUUUUGAAUUUCCGGAAAGGCAUCCAUUCUAAUUUACUUUGUAAAAUGUAUUUCUUCAUUUUAGUUUUUGUUUUGUUUGUUUGUUUUUUUUUUAACAACUUUUAAGUACAUAGUUUUGCUUGUAACUUUUGGAGAGACUAAAAUGCGGAUCCACAGAGCUUACAUUUCUCUAAAUAAACCCAGUGUUGGGAUUAAUGAGGCCCAGCUAGCAUUGUUUGAGCCAAUCAUAGGAAGCCUUCUUUAACUUCCAAAGUUAUUGACUUCUUGUAAAUUUCUGCUAUGACAGAAAAAGUGUUCUUAACAAAGUGCCACUGUCGCUCUCAUUCUUCCUGGGGUUUUUUUGCCCUAAACAGUAUUUUUUAGGUUUGUUUGUGUUGUUGUUGAUGAUGGUGAUUUUUUUAUUCUUUAAUGUCAUGCGCAGUGGUGUUUCUGUUUGCAUGUAUGUCAGCGUGAGGAUGUCAUAUUCCCUGGAACUGAUGUUACAGACAGUUGUGAGCUUCCAUGUGGGUACUGGGAAUUCUUCCCAGGUUUUAUGGAAGAGCAGCCGGGGCUCUUAACCACUCAGCCAUCUCUCCAGCCCCUCCUCCUGUUCUUUUACUUGCAAUUUUUAAAAACAAACCCUUAAGCACAGAUAGUGCCCCCAGCCCAAGCCACCUUCUCCAGGGCUGAUGUUUAGAAAAUGUGCUCUGUUGUUUAUGAUCCUAGCACUGGCAUGUGAACAAAAACCAGGCCCGUGGCAUACACACCUGCAGGUGGAGGCGGAGGCAGGAGCAUCAGGAGGUCAAGGUCACCCUCGGCUGCAUAGCAAGUCCAAACCCAGCCUGAACUAUAAGACCCUGUCUCAAAAUGAUAAGAAAUGUUUAAAGUAUAUUUUCAGGUUUCAUGUUAGUCCAGUAGAUUCAAAACACUGCAGUUUCUUUACCUUAACUGUAGGGGUGGUGAGGGGGGGGGCUUUUAUAUAGGAUGGACAGAUAUAGCACUACUAUAAAUCAGCUCAUUAGAGCAAGAAAGGCACCAUUAAUAAUUAUGCUAUGACAGCUGGCUUAAACGCUGGCUUGUCUUGGGCAGUCACUCAGUUUUACCUAAGAGUAAACAAGUAGAGGAACUUCCUUGUUUUGCUUUUUUGCAGAUUUUUGUUUUUGUGGAUCUGUGAAACACGAUCUCUGUGGCCCAGGCUGGCUUUGAUAUGAUGUGCUGCCAUUACAGAUGUGAUAUCUAUUCCUGGAUUUUUAAAAGAACAACAACAAGACUCACUCUCUCUCUCUCUCUCUCUCUCUCUCUCUCUCUCUCUUUCUUCCUUCCCUUGUUUCCUUUGCUGUGUUGGGCAAACAAUAUACCACGGAGCUACAUACUCUAGCCCAAGAGUGACUUAGUAUUCUAAAGUCCUUAGAAAAGCCAGGUAUAGUGGGGCAUAUAUGUUAUCCCAGUUACAUGGGAGGCAGGAGAGAGGAUCGUUUUUUAAGACUGGGAGACUGGGAGUUCUAACAGAGCUUGAACCUGUAAAAUAGAUAGAUUCCGUCUCAAAAAAAUAAAAAGUGGUAGAGAGAUGGCUUGGUGCCUGCUCUCGAAGAGGACCUGGAUUCUGUUCCCAGCACCCACAUGGCAACUGAGAACCUCAGCACCUCCAAUUCUGUUGGCUCCAACACUCCUACAUAUAAAAUGAAACAAGUGCA